GGGGGCGACUGGUUUCGACAGGGUGAUUCUGAGGUGGGCAGCAAGCCGUGGUCUCCUCGCCACGUUAAUCAGGGGUACCGUCAAAUUUAAUUGACAAUGAUUCUUACCAGGGCUAUGCCCUCGCUGCUUAAUUAAUAUUGCAGCCGUCAAUCCGGGGAUUGCUCCCGUUUCCGGUGCGACGUCAUCUAGGGAGAUGCUCCUUUGGACGUAGCUGGUAUGCCAGGGGAUAAGACUGAACCAACUGGGGCGCCGAGCGCGGGUUACCGAGCGCGACGCGCCCGAGAUCUAAUCGGCAACUGAGCUUGGAGACACCUGCCAGGGGAUUGCUUUGGACCGGAGUUCGAUUCUCCGCGCCUCCACCU
rfam:Coriobacteriaceae bacterium KH1P3 genome assembly, contig: Ga0059117_106